GGAGAGAUGGCUCAGUGGUUAAGAGCACUGACUACUCUUCCAGAGGACCUGGGUUCAAUUCCCAGCACCC
rfam:Neotoma lepida isolate 417 scaffold_717, whole genome shotgun sequence.